rnacentral:rRNA from 1 species
AAUAGAUACCCUGGUAGUCCACGCCGUAAACGAUGAGUGCUAAGUGUUAGAGGGUUUCCGCCCUUUAGUGCUGCAGCUAACGCAUUAAGCACUCCGCCUGGGGAGUACGGUCGCAAGACUGAAACUCAAAGGAAUUGACGGGGGCCCGCACAAGCGGUGGAGCAUGUGGUUUAAUUCGAAGCAACGCGAAGAACCUUACCAGGUCUUGACAUCCCACUGACCGGUAUAGAGAUAUACCUUUCCCUUCGGGGACAGUGGUGACAGGUGGUGCAUGGUUGUCGUCAGCUCGUGUCGUGAGAUGUUGGGUUAAGUCCCGCAACGAGCGCAACCCUUGAUCUUAGUUGCCAGCAUUUAGUCGGGCACUCUAAGGUGACUGCCGGUGACAAACCGGAGGAAGGUGGGGAUGACGUCAAAUCAUCAUGCCCCUUAUGACCUGGGCUACACACGUGCUACAAUGGAUGGUACAAAGGGCUGCAAGACUGCGAAGUCAAGCCAAUCCCAUAAAACCAUUCUCAGUUCGGAUUGCAGG